rnacentral:rRNA from 1 species
UACAGAGGGGGCAAGCGUUAUUCGGAAUUAUUGGGCGUAAAGGGCGCGUAGGCGGCUUUUCAAGUGACGGGUGAAAUCCCUCGGCUUAACCGAGGAACUGCCUGUCAGACUGGAAGGCUUGAGACCGGGAGAGGUGAGUGGAAUUCCCAGUGUAGCGGUGAAAUGCGCAGAUAUCAGGAAGAACACCCGUGGCGAAGGCGGUUCUCUGGGACGGUACUGACGCUGAGACGCGAAAGCGUGGGGAGCGAACAGG